AACGAACGCUGGCGGCAUGCAUAACACAUGCAAGUCGAACGAGACCUUCGGGUCUAGUGGCGCACGGGUGCGUAACGCGUGGGAACCUGCCCUUAGGUUCGGAAUAACUCCCCGAAAGGGGUGCUAAUACCGGAUAAUGUCUUCGGACCAAAGAUUUAUCGCCUUUGGAUGGGCCCGCGUUGGAUUAGCUAGUUGGUAGGGUAAAAGCCUACCAAGGCGACGAUCCAUAGCUGGUCUGAGAGGAUGAUCAGCCACACUGGGACUGAGACACGGCCCAGACUCCUACGGGAGGCAGCAGUGGGGAAUAUUGGACAAUGGGCGAAAGCCUGAUCCAGCAAUGCCGCGUGAGUGAUGAAGGCCUUAGGGUUGUAAAGCUCUUUUACCCGGGAUGAUAAUGACAGUACCGGGAGAAUAAGCUCCGGCUAACUCCGUG
rnacentral:rRNA from 1 species